UACGUAGGGGGCAAGCGUUAUCCGGAUUUACUGGGUGUAAAGGGAGCGUAGACGGAAUUGCAAGUCUGAUAUGAAAAUCCGGGGCCCAACCCCGGAACUGCAUUGGAAACUGUAUUUCUAGAGUGUCGGAGAGGCAAGUGGAAUUCCUGGUGUAGCGGUGAAAUGCGUAGAUAUCAGGAGGAACACCAGUGGCGAAGGCGGCUUGCUGGACGAUGACUGACGUUGAGGCUCGAAAGCGUGGGGAGCAAACAGG
rnacentral:rRNA from 1 species